GACGAACGCUGGCGGCGUGCCUAAUACAUGCAAGUAGAACGCUGAAGGAUGAUCUUGCUUCUCUGGGUGAGUUGCGCACGGGUGAGUAACGCGUAGGUAACCUGCCUGGUAGCGGGGGCGAACUCUUGGAAACGAUAGCUAAUACCGCAUAAUAGUAGAUGUUGCAUGACAUUUGCUUACAAGGUGCAAUUGCGUCACUACCAGAUGGACCUGCGUUGUAUUAGCUCGUUGGUGAGGUAACGGCUCACCAAGGCAACGAUGUAAAGCCGACCCGAGCGGAUGAUCAGCCGCUCGGGGAAGGAGACGAGGCGCAGACCUGGGCGGGAGGCAGCAGUAGGGAUUCUUCGGGAAUGGGCGGAAGGGUGACCGAGGAACUCCGCGAGAGUGAAGAGGGUUAACGGCGCGUAAAGCUCGGUUGUAAGAGAAGAGCGAGUGUGAGAGCUGAAAGAUCACACUGUGACGGUAGCUGAGCAGAAAGGGACGGCUAACUACGUG
rnacentral:rRNA from 1 species